rnacentral:rRNA from 1 species
AUACGGAGGGUGCGAGCGUUAAUCGGAAUUACUGGGCGUCAAGGGUGCGUAGGCGGCUUGAUAAGUCGGAUGUGAAAGCCCCGGGCUUAACCUGGGAAUUGCAUUCGAUACUGUCAGGCUAGAGUAUGUCAGAGGUUGGCGGAAUUCCUGGUGUAGCGGUGAAAUGCGUAGAUAUCAGGAGGAACACCAGUGGCGAAGGCGGCUAACUGGGGCAAUACUGACGCUGAGGCACGAAAGCGUGGGGAGCAAACAGGAUUAGAUACCCUAGUAGUCC